CCUACGGGAGGCAGCAGUGGGGAAUCUUGGACAAUGGGCGCAAGCCUGAUCCAGCCAUGCCGCGUGAGUGAUGAAGGCCUUAGGGUCGUAAAGCUCUUUCGCCAGAGAUGAUAAUGACAGUAUCUGGUAAAGAAACCCCGGCUAACUCCGUGCCAGCAGCCGCGGUAAUAC
rnacentral:rRNA from 1 species